rnacentral:rRNA from 1 species
GGUUGUAAAGCACUUUCAGUAGAGAAGAAAAGCUUACGGAUAAUACCCGUGAGUCUUGACGUAACCUACAGAAGAAGCACCGGCUAACUCCGUGCCAGCAGCCGCGGUAAUACGGAGGGUGCAAGCGUUAAUCGGAAUUACUGGGCGUAAAGCGCACGCAGGCGGUUGAGUCAGUCGGAUGUGAAAGCCCCGGGCUUAACCUGGGAAUUGCAUUCGAUACUACUCGACUAGAGUAUGGGAGAGGGAAGUGGAAUUUCCGGUGUAGCGGUGAAAUGCGUAGAUAUCGGAAGGAACACCAGUGGCGAAGGCGACUUCCUGGCCCAAUACUGACGCUCAGGUGCGAA